CCUACGGGAGGCAGCAGUGGGGAAUAUUGCACAAUGGGCGCAAGCCUGAUGCAGCGACGCCGCGUGAGGGAUGACGGCCUUCGGGUUGUAAACCUCUUUCAGUAGGGAAGAAGCGAAAGUGACGGUACCUGCAGAAGAAGCGCCGGCUAACUACGUGCCAGCAGCCGCGGUAAUACGUAGGGCGCAAGCGUUAUCCGGAAUUAUUGGGCGUAAAGAGCUCGUAGGCGGUUUGUCGCGUCUGCCGUGAAAGUCCGGGGCUCAACUCCGGAUCUGCGGUGGGUACGGGCAGACUAGAGUGAUGUAGGGGAGACUGGAAUUCCUGGUGUAGCGGUGAAAUGCGCAGAUAUCAGGAGGAACACCGAUGGCGAAGGCAGGUCUCUGGGCAUUAACUGACGCUGAGGAGCGAAAGCAUGGGGAGCGAACAGGAUUAGAUACCCUGGUAGUCCAUGCCGUAAACGUUGGGCACUAGGUGUGGGGGACAUUCCACGUUUUCCGCGCCGUAGCUAACGCAUUAAGUGCCCGCCUGGGGAGUACGGCCGCAAGGCUAAAACUCAAAUGAAUUGACGG
rnacentral:rRNA from 1 species